CCACCAAACUCCUCCAAUCACCAAUAUUACCACCAUCACUGCACCUUGUUCUUCAUCUUCCUCAUCCGAGAAAUCUUCACCAAAAGGAGCUAACAAGAGUACUCUCUCUUUGAGUUCUCCAAAUGUCAUCGAUGUUUCCAACUCUCCGACUGCUUCUGUGAACCAGACCUACUUUCAUCAACCUCAAAACGAAUUCUUGAACGAGCCCUUUUUCUUUCCUGUCCAACAGACUGCUGCAGUAGCCGGAUUUACACAAGGGUUUGGCUUCUCCGAGCUAACCAAUGUGAUUCAAGUCCCUGAUCAACCAGUUGGACCCUGUACAAGUCUAUUGUUGAGUGAGAUAUUGAGCCAUGGGGCUUCAAGGAAAGAACAUGAAGAAAACAUGAAGAUGCAGCUCCAGCUUAGUUACACUCUGACCAAUGCUCCUAGUACUCAAAAUAUUAUUCCUCCCACUGCUUCCACCAGUACUACAAGAACUGUUCCAUCUAAUAAUCACCCCAUUCAAGGUAUAAAUUUUCAAUUUUCUUUAUUUCUUUCACAAUGAAGGAUGUUAAUAUAAGAUUUGUCUUUAUUAAUAGACACCAAUAUUUGAUGGGCCGGUUCAUUUAUGCACACGAGGGGAGAAUAUUUGGGUCAUAUGUGGUAAAGAACGGGGAUAAAAUUGUCAUUUAGGAGCAGGAUUUGCGAUCAUUAUCUUUAGAUGGACGUGUGCAUGGGUUGUUCUCUCUGAAAUUGACUACUGCGGUUGGUUUUAUAUAUACUUAAAUGUUGAUUGUUGAGUCAUGAUUCUCUGCAUGUUGGCAGUUGUUGGGGAACCGGGUGCAGUGGAACCUGCAAGUGCGGCUAAAUCGACGGUGUUUAUCAAUGAUGUAGCUUUUGAAGUGGCUGUGGGGCCCUUCAACGUGAGGGAGGCUUUUGGUGAUGAUGCAAUCUUGAUCAACUCCGCUGGUCAACCUGUUCUCACGAACGAGUGGGGGUUAACGCUUCAGUCUCUUCAACAUGGUGGAUUUUACUAUCUGGUCCGCUCGUUUAGCCCCUUCUCCCUAUAAUGAAGGUGACAAACUUUGAAAAUAAAAAACUCCCCUUAAAAUUUGUUUACUGUCAUAAAAUAUACAUAGUAGUAUGUAAUGUGCAUGACAGCUUAUUAUACGAAGAAGCUGAAGGGCCUUUCCUGGUGUAAAACCUGGAAGUUUUUGCUUACCAAUUAAGUUUGUUGAUUAGUUUAUGUUUUUUUCUUUUUCUUUUUUUCCUUGAAUUGCAGGUUUAGAAAUAUGUGGAAAUGGAUGACAUAGUUUGGCUGACACUGUUCCUUCUCUUUCUUGCUCGUUUCACUCUGAUCUCAAGGUUGAGAUUUAGCUUUAGGUAUAGUCCUUAGGGCUCUAUAUAUUAUAUAUGGAUGCAUUUGGAAUAGUAUGAAAAAACUGUGGACCAAUGUAAUCUCUAAUUUUUUGUUAAGGCAAUAUAUAUGGAAUAUGCAACUAGUAUUUUACUUUUAAUAUGCAUGAAAUUAUAACCGUAGAAGCUGUUAAACCCUACUAUAUAGCUAAUAAGUAAUAUAAUUUCAUGAUGAUCAUUUCUUUGCUAUAAAGGUUGCUAAAACCCAUUAUUUUAAUAGUGACUCAAGGAAUAUUUGCAGGUUGAUUAUAAUGUUUUCAUUCCCUAUAUUUAGGGUUUAGUACUUUUCCAAGAUAAAAUGAAUGGAUGUCUUUUUUUUUUUUUUUUGGUGCAAUUGGCAAAUUAAACAGAAAGAUUUUAUAUCAAAACCUAUUACUACAACGUGGGGCAUGUCAUAGCAGCCAAACAUUGAUAUGAACCUCCUAAUUGUUUUGCUUGGAAGUAAUCUCAUCACUGAGCAAUUAAAGUUCGUAACCACCCAAUUAACAUAGGGUAAUUACCUCCUCGAUGGCCAUGAACAAAUUUGAAAGCCGCUUUGACUUUCUUAAUUUCUAUACCAUUCAGCAAGCCAAAAAAAAAAAAAAACCUUAACUUCCAGUUUUGUCAAGCAUAUCAAUGCAAGGCAGCUGUAGUUCAUGCAUGCACGACUCAGUGCUAUAUAUUAUUAUUGAAAAUAAUUAAUUAUUGAGCAACCAAGUUUAUUAAUUAUAAAGGGAGCGCAUCGAGAUUUUUUAUAUAUUUAAAGUUAUUAAAAAUUAAAUUAUUUAAAAAUUCAUCAUUCUAUUAAACAUGACAAGUAAUCAUUGAUAAUCGAAUUUAAUAUAAAGACGGUUUAAAAAUUUGCACUGUAAACCCUAUGAAAAUUCUGUAUAUAUAGAUCAGAGAAAAAGAUGAUAAAUAAUCAAAUACUAUGUUCUGUUGGCUUUUAAAUUUGUCUUUACUUAUUUUACACGAUAAAUUUUGGAAAGAGUUUCCAUUUGGUCCAUCUGUAACUCGGAAAUAGGGUUUUACUUAGGAUUCACCCAACGUCAAACAACCUAUUCAAAGCCAAUCUGUUAUGUUAGAGCGACCAAAUACUUAUUGUUUCAAACCAUUUUCUCUGAAAGAUUGAAACCCUGACACCCAACAAGGGUUGGUUGGUCUGUAAUAAUUUCCUGUUGUUUUUCAUAUUUUAACAAUGAGCUAGCUAUGAUCAGAUGACUGGUUAAAGGAGGGUGUCAUUUUUGGUGCUGAGUGGUGCAGAUUUUUGACGUGCACUCUGGUGAGAACAGUGCUAACCCCACCCUUCAGCCCUCACCCUUUCGAUUUGACAAAGCGAGUUGCAUCUAUCAAAAAAGAAAUUGCUCCCCCUUUUCUAGCUCCUAAAAUUCCCCCACUAUACGUCACAUUUCGUAAAAAUCACUGUGUUUUUUUAGUAUGAACCAUCACCAAUGAUAAUCAUGACAAACUUGGAUUCCAAAGUGAAUGGAGAAAGAAGCAAUGGCUGUACAAAGUCAAGAACUUGAGCCCCUCCCCCCCCCCCCCCCUUCUUUUUCUUUGCUGGUGGCAGCUUGGGGAGGGUUCCAGUCUUCCAGAGGCUGAGAAAUGGGAGAUCUAUCAUUACAAGACACGUGGCGUAAGCAGAUUGGUCAGGUUAAUCUUUACAUACCCACCCGUGGGAAUUAGGUGUUUCAAUAGUAGGUUUGAUUGGAUUGUUCUGGUCUUUCUGCACAGGACUUUUGUCCAAGUAUGCUGCAAAUUGUAAACAAAACAAACAUUGGUAGGCUGCUGCUAUGCUAAGCUAUGCAGGCUAUUCAUCCGCCAUGAAAAGCACGUAAUGGGGCACAAUGCAUAACAUUUCUGCUUGCAUGACAAGACAAAGAUUACAUUACAUUUUUCUUUUCAAUCAUGAAAGCUUUUUCUCUGUUCAAGUCUUCCAGAUGAUGUAGACAAGUUAUUGGUCAGAAACAGAAAUAAAUUUUCAUUUUUUCUAGGAUAUUUAAUAAUUAGGUUAUCAAUGUAUUCUGAUUUGUGGGUUAAGAAGAAAGUUGGAAAUGAGUUUCUUUUUCCACUAAAUGUUUAGGUUGAGAAGAAAACUGUCUGAUUCCGAUGGUUGCGUUGGGCUCUGAGUCCAUUGAUCCGAUAUUUCCCUAAGUUUUUCAACAUGGAAUGGCCCGGUUUGAUUCUAGCUAUGGGCUACUCCGGUUGUGGCUCAUUAGGCGGAACAUGCGACAUUGCUGACCAACCCAAUUUUCUAUGUCCGUACUCCUUUUAUGUUUCUUUGAUUAGAAGUAUAAAAUAUAAAUCAUUUUCUUUCUUGAAUUCUUUAAGAUGUUCUUUCUUUCACGUUACAAACUCUGAGACACUAAUAUUGAUUUAAACUAAGACAUAAUAUUUGAUAUAACGCAAAUUUAAAAUUUUAAUUAUAUAAACGAAAUUAAUAAGAUGAUAUUUGUUUUAUUUAAUUUUUAAAUAUCUUAUAAAAAAUAUAUAUAUCAUUUUAUUAAUUUUAUUUAUGUAAUUAAAAAUUUAUAUUAAUAAUAUAUCUAAUACUAAUUUUUAAAUUAAAAUUUAUUUUAUUUUAAUUGGUGUUACUAAAACAUUUAUUAAACAAUUUAUGUUCGUGAGAAAGAAAAAAAAAACUCAUGACAUUAGUAGGUAUGUUUCCUAGAUUUAGUAUAAUUAAUGAUGAUUGAUUAUGCCACUAAAGUUGGAAAUUAAUUUGUUUCUUUUCCUUUUUCCCAUACCUUCCUCUUUCAUGAUUUUAGGCAAAGGCUGUUAGUCGUAACAAAAAUAUCUAAAACGUAAGAAACCAACUACUUGUUUUUUAUGUAUUACAUGUUUCGUUUAAAUUGAUGAUAGGAUAGAUUUUUACCGUAUCGACUGUCAUUUUUACCAUUAAAUUGUUUAAUAAUAAAACGACAUUUUUAAUACCGUAACAAUCCGGCCACCAUCCGAAGCAGAUGUCAUUCCAAUUUUUUUAAAAAAUUUAUAUCCUUUUCAUAGUCCCACGUUUAACAAUUCUAUGUACAUUAACGACCGAUGGAAAAGUAUUUGAUAAAGAAAUUUGUUAUUUGAUGGAGAAAAGCAUGAAUGACAACGAAUGUUUCAAUUUAAUUGAAUUUUAAAUAGUCAAAAAAAAAUUCCUUUGAUCUAAUCAAAAUUUGUGUCCUUAGAUCCACAUAUCAUAUAUAUCUCUAGAACAAGAAGAAAAAAAAAAAAAGACAAGAUUCAACAUGUAGUUUAAUAAUGUACACUUCUUUUUUACCCGUGGUAAAAAAAAAAAAAUCAAAUCUAGUUUUUUCAAUCAAACAAAAGGGUAAAAAAAGUUGUAAGAAAAAGGUUGGAGGGGUAAAAAGUAACAGAAAUUGGAAUCUGCAAAAUCUGGUGAAAAGAGGUUAAUUUUGGGUUAAUCCACCACCAGACAUUAUAAUCAUAGUCAUUUGCCUACUAAAGAUUUCAAGCUUUUUUUUUUCUUCACACCUUCCCAAACCCAGAACCAAAAAAAAAAAAAAAAAAAAGCUAACCUUAACAAUUUACAAACCCAAAAUAACAAGAAAAAAAAAACGCGUUUUUUUUUUUUUUGGUUUUUAUUUUCCUUUUUAAAUAUUUUUGACCCCAAUUCAAAGACAACAUUGGACGACAAAGAAGAGGGAACAAGAGCAAGAAGAGAAAGAGAAAGAGAAAGAAUAAAAAAAACAUAAGAGAGAAAUGGGAGCUUACAGGGCGGAUGAUGACUACGAUUACUUGUUUAAGGUUGUCCUGAUCGGUGACUCUGGUGUUGGAAAAUCCAACCUUUUGUCUAGAUUUACAAGAAACGAGUUUAGCCUUGAAUCUAAGUCUACUAUUGGGGUUGAGUUUGCCACCCGUAGCAUUCAUGUUGACGAUAAAGUUGUUAAAGCUCAGAUUUGGGACACUGCUGGACAAGAAAGGUAUUCAUCUCUUGCCAUUCCUUUUUGGGUGCAGAUCUUGAUUUGGGUUUCCUUAUUUACGCUUUGUUUUUGCUUGAUUUGAGGGUUUGGAUCUUUUUUUUGGUGUUCUCUGAAUGUUGGGAUCUUGCAAAAUGGGAAAUUAGUGAUAUUUAGUUCCUGCAAGUGAAUAAAUUGUAUCAUGUUUUUGGUUAAUUCAACACAUAUGGGAUUUCAAUUGGAAAUAAGAGAUUGCCUUGUUAAACGAAAUUGCUUGCUUGGCUAUUAAUUCUUGUCAUGGUACUGAAUAUUGAUGGAAUAGAACAUGACUAGCCUGAUAUUUUUUAUAGAGUUGUGGAUUAUAAUGUCUGAAUCACCCACAAUUGGAAACUGGACUUUCUGUUGUAAUUCGGUUCCUUGCUCUGUGUUGUGUAUUGGUAGCCACUUUUUUGUUCCAUCGCUGGAGUGAUUACAUUGCUAAAUUGGUAUUAAAAUUUUAUGUCAAUGUGGCUUAUACCGCAUAUUCUUGUAGAUCACCAUGCAAGAAGCUUUCUUCUUCUUUUUUCUUUCGCUUUGUUGACUGUUUGUUGUUUAGGCAGUUCUGUAAGCUGUUACUGCUAUUGGGGUAAGUGUGCUUUAAUCAGCUGUCUUUACUCUUGAAACUUACUUACAAUACAAGCGUUGGAGAGUGACCUUUAAUCCUGGCUUACCAAAGAAACGCUUUAAAGAAGACGGAAAAGAUUGCAUUUUUAUAUAAUUCCCUGCAGUAUGAUAUGAUAUGACUUGUUUGUCUUUUCUGGAUCACCCUUUUACAAAUAUCUUGAUUUUUUUUUUGUUCUGAAUUUGGUGCAAAUCAUGAAGCAUUAGGAAUGUUCAUCUAAUCUUUCUGUCUACUCUCUUUUGCCAAAGAUAUCGUGCAAUAACCAGUGCAUAUUACCGUGGUGCUGUUGGUGCUUUAUUAGUCUACGAUGUCACCCGUCAUGUUACAUUUGAAAAUGUAGAAAGGUGGUUGAAGGAACUUAGAGAUCACACUGAUGCCAACAUUGUGAUUAUGCUAGUUGGGAACAAGGCAGACCUGCGUCACUUGCGAGCAGUUGCCACCGAAGAUGCCAAAGCUUUUGCCGAACGAGAGAACACCUUUUUCAUGGAAACAUCUGCACUAGAGUCUCUGAAUGUUGAGAAUGCCUUUACAGAAGUGCUGACCCAGAUUUAUCGUGUUGUAAGCAGGAAAGCUCUUGAUAUCGGAGAUGACCCAGCAGCUUUACCCAAAGGCCAGACGAUCAAUGUUGGAUCAAAAGACGAUGUAUCAGCCGUGAAGAAAGUUGGAUGUUGCUCAGUUUAAGCACGUAGAAGAAGUCUUAGAGAUAUUUAUCUUUGAAAUCUUAUGCCUUUGUUCACAUCUACAUAGAAGUUUUUCCUGACAGCAAAAAAAGGCGAACAUCAACAAUGUAUUAACCAGUUGACAUUGUGCUUUGCAUCAUGCUAAACACCAGUCGUCUAUGUUAUCUUCAACUCUAGGACUUAAGAUUAAUGGUUUACGUUGCUUUUCUUUGUUAAGCUCAAACAUUUUACUUUUGAUUCCUUCUUUGUUCAUUGCUUUAACCGCUAAACCAUCUUUAAUUAUGUAUGGUUCAAUUCGUUUUGAAUCAUUGCCUGACGAUUGGCUUUUGAUGGAACGCCUAAAUAAUAUGCUUUGAGCAUGUGAUGCAGGAGGUAAAUCGUAUAUGAUAUGGCAUCUUGUUUGGUCUGCAGAUGCCAGAUUGACAAUUAGUCUUAUACAUUUUCGUAAAAGAUUAAAACUACUCUCUUUUUCGACAUUGAUGGGUGCUUAUAUGAUGACUCCGAUCAUCUUAUUUGCCAUAGUUUCACAAGAAAUGAAUUGGUUUGAUCUCCUGGUUUAGCCGAACAUAGCUGUGUACUGUGAAGAUUUGCUUGCAAGGCGUAUCCCUCUGAGGAAGAACGCUGUUUUGAAGACUUGGAAUGAAGUUUGGUUAAUAUCUUUUGUUUUUCAACAAGGAAGCUGGUAAAAUCGUUUUUUCUGCAGAAAUUAAACAGAUGAACCACCCUUUUCUCUGCGUAGUUGAUCCUUUUCUUUCUUAAAAGGAAUGAAGACAUAGAAACCAUGAAAAUAAAAACUUAAAAACCGCGAGGUUGGCAGGCUGCAACAGAUAAAUACCUGAAGAAAAAUUUACACCAUACUCUGUAAGAAGAUAAGAGCAUCUGUGAACAAGACAAGCAGCUUAAAUAAAAAGUUCUAAAGACUCCAUUUUCAUUAAGAUCCCGUCACACUUGGCACAAAAUUGAAGCAAAAACUAUGAUGCAGUAUACACCACAAUCCCCUCCAAUUUCAGUUGUCAUAACAGCAGUUUCGGCGGCUUUUCUUCCUGAUCAACAUGGCCUCUCCAAAAGUUAAGUUCAUUCUGGAUCAACAGUGGAAAAACGAAGCAUAUCCACCGUCUAGAAAAAAAAAAAGUUGGCAAAAUUCAGAACAAUGAACAAUUAUAGUACGGAUAAGACAAGUAAAAUGCAUGUCCGUUGAGCAAAGUCAACUAGCAUAUUCUUGUUUUGCUGCACCUCCCAAAAUUGUGCUCUUGACCAAUUGUACUACUUCCAAAUUUAAGUGGAUUAUAACUAUGAAAUUAAAAAAAAUAUACAAAUAACAUCGUAGGAAAACAUGAGGUGGAAGAAUUGAGCAUAUACCACUAUCAGAAAGACAGCCAGCUGAAAUUUUUUGAAAGCUUGUGAGUUAGAGCACUGCAUCCUUGAAAUCUAAAAUGCUAUUUCUUAUUAAUAAAUAAAAUAAAAAGGAAUUCUCUAAUUUGGUUUACAUUCUAAUUCCAAUUCAAAUACUAAAAAGAAAAAAUUCAGUAUCCCAUGAGUGUGAACAAAUCAAUCAUAUUCAGAGCUCAAAAAAAAAAAAAAACAGAUACAGAACCAAAACUAGAGAAGAAACCUAAUUCAAGCGCCGCAAUUAUCAAGUCAAACACCCAACAAAGAAUGGCACAAGAAAAAGUAAAUACUACUAACCAGAAGAUUGAUGAAGCGUCGAAGAUCACUUUGUAUUAUCAUUUUUAUCAGAAUCAGACUUGAAAGAGGGAAGAGGAUUAGAGCCUUUGAUGAUCCAACCAAGGGCAAAAAACGAAACCCCAGCCAGAAUUGCCGUGCCCCAGGCGUGAGAGUACCAUUUACUGUACUGUCUGAUGGCAUACCUCCAUUGAUCUCUCAGAGUUGAGGGGUCCGGGUUUGUUAGGUCGGGUGGGUUAGGGUAACGAACCUUUUGAUGGCCCGAGAAAUCAGAAGCCAUGCUUUUACCGAUUUCGGGGAUUGAUUUAGAAGAAGAAGAAGAAGAAGAAGGAUGGGGAGGCGGGUUUUGAGGGGAUUCGGGCUUCCUGUGUUCUGACAUGAUUAUCACUUGGGGCAGCUGAACUUCGACUUUGAGAGCAGAUCUUUGUUUGAAAGCAAACAAGGACUAGAGAGACUGAAGCGUUACAUAUCACUUCGACGUUUUUAGUGCCAGCUGUGUCGUUGAGCACACGUGGCAAUUAAGCAGAUUAUUUGCCUCUUAUCUUUUUUCUUUUUUUGUACGGCUCUUAUCAAUUGUCCAGUAAUAGUAGCUGUUAAUAUUUUGGUGAUUUUCAUUGUCAGCUCGACCAGAGGAAAUGCACGAUCGUUUUUUUUUUUUCUUUAAUAUACUCAACGCUGUCUCUGCUUAGCUUUGGGAUCGAGCCUUGGCCCUAGAGGCCCUCAUUUUUUUUUGCUUCUCAAAAUAGAAAGAGCAUUCCCUGCCUUUUACUCAAUUGCCCGAGUGUCUACUUCGACAAUGAAUCCUUGGUUAUUAAACUAACAAUGAUUCCAUCACAGCCAGUAAAAUUUGCGGUCCAUAAUAAAAUCUAUUUACUUGAAAAACCACAACAGAAUUGUCAAUUUAUGUGACACCAAAUGGAAUCUAUCGUCUAAAUUAUAUAUAUGUCUGUGUAGUGAGCAACACUUUUAAGAAAAAAUAUGUUGAAUAUAAACUUCAGGUCGCACAUGAACACUUGUUGUACGUGAAGUUUUGUAGGAAAGUCAUUUACGAGCUUCUACCUUCUUCUGCUCCUUGGCUGAAACAAUUAAAUAUGAAUGUUCAUCAAUUUCAAAAAUGUUUGAUACCAGAACACAAGAAAUAAUCGUGGUGGCUCUAGAGUCUUACCAGCCUUUUCCUCUUCUCGUUUUCUGGCAGCUUCUUCUCUCUGUUGACGUAUAAGGGCUAGGCGGUCUGUAUCACAAUAAAUCUCCAAAUGAGUCUUUUUCUUUCUUUUGUUUUUCCUUUCAAGGAAAAAUGGCAGUACAGCAUAAUCCCACAGUAAAGAACGUUGUAACAAUCACACAAAGCAUAACCAACUAGACUGAAUUAUGAAAAUUUUCAACUAAACAGAAGUGAUUAGAUAUAUACGCCAUUUUCUCUGUAAGUUAGGACGUGGGAAGCAAUUUGGCACAAUUAAGAUUUUAAAAGCACUCAGCUUGUUCAUCCUCCCACAGGCAAAUAUAUCUCCACAGUUUAAUGUACAAAAACUGCAGCCUCUUUAAGUAGUAUUUCAAGUGUUUAACCUACAGAAUUCAAAUCCUCGAACAUCUAACCAAGAUAACUUACGUUCAAAGUAGGUAGGGGCAAGGGUUGAUUAUAUAAGUAAUUUGAAGUAUGCGUGGCUAUAGUUAUUAUCUCAAAUGAUCAAAAUAGUAAGGAAUCAGAAGUUAGAUCUGCUGCUUAGCCCAUCUUCAUUAACUUGAUAGGAGGAGUAAGUCACGUGACAAGGGUAAGUUAAAGCAAUAUCUGUUUGGCUUACCCAAAUCUUUCCUUGCUUGUUCUGUUUUCCCCUGCUCUUGCAGCCUCAUAUAACGUUCAUGGGCUCUCUGCUUUUCUAAUUCCUCCCUAUAAACAAAUAGAAAAAGAUAUAAGAUGGAGCAUUCACACAAGAAAAAUAUAAAAACAUUAAAAAAGUUAUAGCUCAAGACAGAAGAAUAGACCCAGAAAUAAACCAUGUGAAAGCCAGAAAAUAAACUGAGUUAAAAGCAUCCAAAGCAGAAUUUAGAAGGAAAAGUAACAAGCAAUACAAACCUUUCACGCCUCGAAAGUUCAGUAGUUUUCCCAGUCUGUACAUGAGAGAACAAAAUCAAAACAUAAAUAAAACAAAAGUUAUACUAACAAACCAUCACUGAAACAAUUUAUAAGGGAGAUUUCAUGAAACUUACAUCAACAUCUCUAGCUUUCAAGUUCUUUGGCUUCACCAGAUUAGGAUUGUUGACCUCAAUAACACCUUGAGUUCCCUUGCGCUUUUGCUAUUGGUUUGCAAUAAGUAGUUCAUAUUCCGUAGUCAUCACAAAAAUAAUGAAACCCAUAUCCAAAAAAAAAAAAAAAAAGACAGAAAAAACCCAGUCAUGGUAAACUUAAACUUACUUCAGUUUCAUCGUCAGAUUCUUCUCCAGACUCCUGUCCAGAUUCCUCCUCAGAUUCUUCUUGCUCUUUGUAUUCUGCUUCUUGCUAACAACGUUAAAGAGUAAAGAGUGAGUUCUUAUAGUUUUAAAAAACACAUGAUUAUAGAACAUGUGCGUGAGGGCGUCCGCAAGAGAGAGAGUACCCGCUUAAAAGUGCGAGGACGAGAAGAGGUACCAGCAACUGCAAAAACAUAAAAUCAGAAACAAAACCAAACCAAAACACGGUUUCAUUCAGGCAGAUUGAUUUAAGAAGAAAGAGCAUCAGUUAACCGUAACCCUAAACCUAACUCAGACAAUGUCCUUCAUCAUCGCAAUCUUACUAGCAAGAAUUAACCUAAAUUUUACUCUAAGCAGAUAAUAUUAAAUUGAAAUAAAAAUCUAACUUUUUUAAGCAUAGUUUUUGGAAUUUUAUAUAUUCAAUAAACAACAGAAAUAAAAAAAAAAAAAAAAACUCAACCUGAUCAAAAUUUCACAAACUGAAUUAACAAAUUUGCGGUUUCAACUAUCUUUGUCAAUCAUAAAAUUAACGACGUAAAUACUUUGAUAAUUUCCAAUAAAAUCAUUAAAAAGAUCUGAAAUUUUUACUUUUACUCGAAUUUUCUAGGGAAAAUUAAACGAAACAAACAAAAAAAUUGAAAAAACAUUAGAAGAAGAAAUCUUACGCAUCUCUUCAGGAGUAGAAAAGUGGCGUUGACCGGUGGGCUUUGCCUUGAAUUUUCCUCUUCCCAUUGUUAAUUACAGAGACAAAACGAAAUAGCCGAACGAACCCGAACGGGGGCUUUUCUAAUCUUUAGGAUGAUUUUUCCAAGAGGAAAAAUAAAUAUACAAAAAUUCAGGGUUAUUGCUUUCGUUUGGCUUAUUCGAAGUGCCGGAGUGCGGUGGUUUUAGUGGCGUGGGGUUUUCUUCUGUGCGACUGAUUGUAUGGGAACCCUUUUUUCUUUUUUGUCGGUUAUGCGAAUCUGAGGCGUUUAUAUAGCUGAGAGAAUGAUCUGGCAGUGUACGUCGACUUGAUACGUAGUGGGCUCUACUUAUCUCUUUCAAAAGUAUAAUACUUUCUUUCAUAUCAAACAGGUGUCCAGGCUAAAAUACUAAAAAAAUCUUUCAAUUAUUUUAUUUUAAAAUAAUUUUAUAUAUUUACAAAUAAACAUUUAUCGAUCGAUUUUAUGUUCAAAUGUGUUUUUAUUUCAAAUUAAAGAUUAAUUUUAUGUUAACAGUUUAUUAAAAUUUAAAUUUAAAUUUUUUAAAUAUAAUAAAAAUAUAAAUAUUUAUAAAAAAAAGAUAAAAUUUAAUUAUUUAAAAACUCAUUUGAGUCUUAUUAAAUAAUUAAACUAUGAAUACAUCAUGUUUACAAUAUAGAAAACAAAUUUUCAAUUUUCCUUGCAACAUAUUUGAUAGGAGGAAAAGAAACAUUAAAUUACAGCUAGGAACUUGGAUAAGAAAAUGAAAGAAAUACUCAUAGUAGGGCAUGCAGCAUCUCAACAAAACCAUCCAUGUAAGAGUUUUCAAGGCCUGGUUCUGAAAGGAACUCUUUCCACUUAGCAUGGUUGGUCCUUGCCUCUUUCCCCAACUCACUAUCAUCAUCCAUUACAGCCUUCACUGCCUUGCAAACACCAUCCUUUGUAAAAAGUCCAUCUUCAUCUUUCUCGACUUCUACUCCAAUUUUCAAGUGUCCUGCCAUCAUUCUUGCAUUAAUUAUCUGGUCUCCAACGUUAGGUAACAGCACCAACUGACAAUCACUCAUCAUAGCCUCAGCCAAAGAACCAGAGCCACAGUGAGUCACGAAACACCCUAAAGAAGGAUGCCUCAAGAUCAGUUGUUGCGGCACCCAACCUCCAUGAACUAUUCCUCUUCCUUCUACUCGCUCCUGGAAUCCUUCUGGCAAUGCUGACUCAAUUGUUUCAGCUCCCAUUGGUGGUUUGAGGGCAACCAAGAAUGGCAAACCUGUAAGCUCAAGGCCUAAAACCAAUUCCUGGAACUGAUCUUUUUUGAGAACAAACUCACUCCCAAAGGCACAGAAUAUCAUGGUCUUAGCUUGAAAGCGGUUUAAUAACUUUUCCCAUCGUUCUUCUAACGCAAUUUUUGGUGGCUCUGGCACUACUGGUCCAGCAAAAAUCACUGGUUUUUCAAACAGGUUUCCAAUAUAUUCACAGUAAGGCCCUUCAAUCUCCCUACAUGUCUUGAAACCAAUAGCAUCACAGUCACUUAAAGACCUUAGCUGACGCUCUACAAAUGAAAUUCCACUUCCAUAAUCCAUUGUUGUUACAGCAGCUAAUCCUCGAGCUUCAUGGGUGCGUAGCUUGAUACUUGAAGAAGGGAAACCUUCAGGAGGCUCCAGGAGAUCAGACCCUGUCAAACCUUUCUCAAGAGUCUUUCUUGCUGGACUAAGAAGAUAGCCAAUAGUUGCAGAGCUAAUGAUACAAUACAGCACGGACUUGAUGCCAAGCCUGCGAGUCAAGGCUGGCAACCAGCAAGUGAAAUCAAAGAAAACGAAAUGGGGUUUUAGUUCUCGGAGGGAAGCUUCAAUAUCAGGUUCUGUGAGGUCCAUGGCGGUCAUAAUGAGAGGAUGCAAAGGGAAAGGAACAUCGUUUGUUGUUUCAGCGCCAAGAGGCAGACCUUCAACAUGUGGAACAGUGAUUGGAAUGAAGGUUAUGAGAUUCGGGUGGAGAUUGAAAGCCUCAACCUUGCACUGUGUUUUGGCCGGCAAGAAGUAGGAAAUUUUGUGGCCUCUCUCCGCUAGUUUGUUGGCCAUAUGGACAAAUGCAGUAAUAUGGCCAAGGGCAAACCAUGGAUACAUUGCAAUGUGAAAGGUUUUGUCUGCCAUUGUUGGUGUUGUGAUAAAUUGGUCCAAAAUUCCUAAUCAGCUAAUCGGAAAACAACUCGUGUCCCUCAAAUGCAAUCACUGCAUUGCUUAUAUACAAUGCCUGGAAAGUUAUGGUGCCUUCUGUUUCAAAAAUAUGCCUGGUUUCUUUGUUUCCGGUUUCUCGCAAAACAGAAAACUAGUACUCAAACUUCUGUUUGGUGACUAAUGCUGAAGGACUUUUUUAGAAAACGAAAACCAAAAUAUGCCACAUUUGGAGAACCAAAUAUUUUUCAUGCUGUCAACGAAAAUAUUCCCUUUUGCUUUUACUUCAAAAAAAGAAUUGUCAAAGUUAUUGCCCCAACCAACUUUUUGGCCUUGAUAAGUACUCUACAUAAAAGGAUGAUUUCGCUAUUUUAAUCCUAAUCGGCAUCAAACAGGAACAGUGUCAUGAGCCAACCUUGUAUAAGGCCAUGAUCGGGACUUAGGUUGCCAUGAGCCACCCAUGUAUAGAGCCAUGGCCGGGUAGACCCCUUGUGUUAGGAAAAGUGUCCCCAUUUCAAACAUUGUAACGGUUACUGGUAGCAUAGCUCUAAAAUCUCUAAGGCUCUUUAAAGGGGGUGAGCCGGCAAGGUAUUGUUGGGCUGUCUCACCGGGUGCUAUGCGAGCUUAGGCCACCCACCAUGGGCUGCCCCCUGGCCCUGGUGAUGGUGGGAGGUCCCGAUGUAUGAUUCCCGAUUUUAAUGAAAUUCGCCUCGAUUGAAUGCCCGAUUGUUGCCUCGAUGUGUUUCUUUUCUUUCUCAAUGUGAAUGUGCCUUGUUAUGUGUAUGGAUGAGAUUGAUAUUGAUAUAUUGUGCCUUAUUGUGAAUGCUUGAGACUAACCAUGGUUUAUGGUUAUUUGUUCAGAUCUCGAUCUAUUGAGGGCUGACUUGGGUGGAAGCGUCCAUUCAAGUGCCUCGCGGGCUAGUGCUUGUUGAAAGAAAGCUUAGUCCGUGACACGUGGUAUCAGAGCACGGUUGAGAAGUGCUAGAGAAAUGGAUGAGAUGGCCACAAGUGGUGGAUCGGAUCAUCAGCAGAGAAUUGAGGAACUUGAGGCCGCGGUGGCCGCAAUGAAAACUCAUAUGGUAACAAAAGAUCGAGUGAGGGAGAUCGAGACAACCCAGCGGGAGUUGUCCGAUACUCUCCACAAUGUGAGCGAAGAGGCUAGAGAUGUCUUGAACAUUCUCCACAAGGAGUUUGAGGAGCUCAGGGCCCAGAUGAGCAUCCUACAAAUGGCGGUGGCCAGUUCGGGUUCAAGCUCGACGGACAGGGGACAAAGACCCAAAGUGCCGGAGCCUCGGUGCUAUGAGGGGGCAAGGGAUGCUAAGGAACUUGAGAAUUUCCUGUUCGACAUGGAACAAUACUUCCGAGCUGUACACACAAGUUCAGAGGAAGACAAGGUGACAAUGGCAUCGAUGUAUCUCGUAGGGGAUGCCAAGUUGUGGUGGCGCUCCAAGUUUGUCGAUGACGAGUGCCCGAUUAAGACCUGGACGGAUCUGAAGCGUGAACUGAAAAACCAGUUUUUUCCGGAGAAUGUGGAUUAUAUGGCUCGAAGGAGACUUCGAGAGUUGGUGCAAACCGGAACGGUGCGAGAGUUCGUGAGGAACUUUUCUACCCUGAUGCUGGAUAUUAGGGACAUGUCCGAAAAGGACAAGUUAUUCCAUUUUAUUGAGGGCCUCAAGCCGUGGGCGAGGACAGAGCUACAGAGGCAAAGAGUGCAAGAUGUGACGACGGCCAUGGCUGCAGCGGAACGUCUUCAUGAUUUUAAUGAUGGUUCGUUAAAACGGAAGAACCCUCCACCAACUGGCAGUAGCUCUAAUCUUGGGAGUGGGGGAAAGAUAACUAGGUUGGAUCGACCCUUCAGUUGGGGAUCAGACAGGAGAUCCUUUGGGCGAGAUAGCACCCAGCCUAGGACAAACAACGCAGGGAUUUUCAAGCCUAGGCAACCGCUUGCUUGCUUUCUUUGCAAGGGGCCGCAUCGAGUGGCUGAGUGCCCGCACCGAGGAGCCCUUAAUGCCUUAAGGACCUCAUCCCAAGAGUCUGCAAAAGCACCCGAGAGCGUUGAAGAAGCUGAAGAGGAGCCAGCCAGGAUGGGCUCAAUAAGGUUCCUCAGUGCCCUUCACACCCAAUUGAACACUAUAAAGAAAGAACAAAGCAGAGGCUUGAUGUACGUGAACUUGACGAUCAAUGGGAAAGCCACCAAGGCCAUGGUGGAUACAGAUGCAACCGACACUUUCAUCACACCAGAAGAAGCAAAAAGGUGUGGUCUUCAGAUUAGUAAAGACUGUGGGUGAAUGAAGGCGGUCAAUUCGCCAGCCUUUGCAAUCAGUGGAAGCUCGAAAAGUGUGACAACCCAAUUGGGGCCAUGGAAAGGGAAGGUAGACUUCACAGUCUCCCCCAUGGAUGACUUUGAUGUCGUUCUAGGAUUGGACUUCAUGACGUUGGCUCAGGUGAUCCCUAUCCCCGCUGCUAGCUGCUUGUUGUUCUUAGGAGAACACCCAUGUGUGGUGCCAGCCAAUAUCUUGCCAAAGAGUGGGAAGAAAAUGAUUUCGGCUUUGCAAUUCAAGAAAGGGGUAAAGAGAGGGGAACCCUCUUUUGUGGCCAUGCCGAUCUACAAAGAAGGGUCAAAAGUAGAACCAAUACCCAAUGGCGUGAAGAAAGUGUUAGAAGAAUUCAGAGAGGUGAUGCCAGAGAUGUUGCCCAGGGUUCUACCCCCUCGACGAGCAGUGGACCACGAAAUUGAGCUACUCCCAGGGGCAAAACCCCCUGCUAGAGCCCCCUAUCGCAUGGCCCCGCCAGAGUUGGCCGAGCUGAGAAAACAGUUGGAUGAGCUUCUACAAGCCGGGUUCAUCCGACCAUCAAAGGCUCCUUUCGGAGCGCCAGUGCUAUUCCAGAAAAAGCAUGAUGGGAGCUUGCGCUUAUGUGUCGACUACAGGGCUUUGAACAAAGUCACCGUAAGAAACAAAUAUCCUAUCUCGCUCAUAGCAGACUUGUUUGAUCAAUUGAGCGGGGCCAAGUACUUCUCCAAACUGGACCUGAGAUCGGGAUACCAUCAGGUCAGAAUCCUCGAGGGAGAUGAGCCGAAGACCACCUGUGUAACACGGUAUGGUGCAUUUGAAUUCCUUGUUAUGCCUUUUGGACUAACCAAUGCUCCUGCCACAUUUUGUACAUUGAUGAAUCAGGUGUUUCAUGACUACCUAGACAAGUUUGUAGUCAUUUAUUUAGACGAUAUAGUGGUAUAUAGCUCCACGUUGGAAGAACAUCAAGAACACCUGCGACAGGUAUUUCAAAGGUUACAGGACCACCAGUUAUAUGUAAAAAGGGAGAAGUGUGCAUUCGCUCAGACCCAAAUCCAUUUUCUCGAUCACAUUGUCGAACGUGGCCACAUCCGAAUGGACAUGGAAAAAGUCAGGGCCAUCAAAGAGUGGACGAUACCGAAGAAUGUUAGUGAGCUCCGCUCCUUUUUGGGACUAGCCAACUAUUAUAGAAGGUUUGUGGAAGGGUACUCUCGUAAGACCACGUCCCUCACGGAGCUACUGAAGAAGGAACAUAAAUGGUGUUGGACGAACGAGUGCCAAGAGGUCUUUGAGGGAUUGAAGGAUGCUAUUAUGAAGGAUCCCAUCUUAGCUCUCCCCGAUAUUGGAAAGCCUUUUGUAGUCCAGACGGAUGCAUCAGAUUUUGCUAUUGGAGGUGUGCUUUUACAACAACAUCACCUGGUAGCAUUCGAAAGUAGGAAGCUGAGUGAAGCUGAAAGGAAAUACACAGCCCAGGAGAAAGAGCUCCUUGCGGUGGUUCAUUGCUUGAGGACUUGGCGGCAUUACUUGUUGGGUGCGCACUUUGUCGUGAAGAUAGACAACACAACCGUUAGCCACUUCCUCACCCAACCAAGACUCACGACGAAACAAGCUAGGUGGCAGGAAUUUUUAGCUGAGUUCGACUUUUAUUUUGAGCAUACCGCGGGAAAGACUAAUCAAGUGGCGGAUGCCUUGAGCAGGCGGCCAGAGUUAGCGGCCCUCAGAAGAAUGGCCCCAAUGGUGGCUAGCAGAGCCACUACAGACAUCCAUAAGUUGAUUGGAGAUCAUUUAGGGAAAGACCCGCAAGCCUGUGCCAUUUUGAAGCUAGUGGAAGAAGGGAAGUCCAAACAUUUCUGGAAAGAAAAUGGGGUCUUGUGGACCAAGGGACCUCGAGUCUUUGUGCCAAGAGCAGGAGGUCUGAGACAGAUGCUGAUGAGGGAGUGUCAUGACACCCCAUGGGCGGGACAUCCGGGCUGGCAGCGCACGUUGGCGUUAUUGAAACAAGGAUAUUAUUGGCCUCAAAUGCGACAAGAUGUGAUGGAAUAUACGAAGACUUGCCUCAUUUGCCAACAAGACAAAGUCGAGAAGAGGAAACCUGCAGGUAUGCUUGAACCUUUAUCGGUACCUACCAAACCGUGGGAAAGCAUCUCCCUCGAUUUCAUCUCGAGCCUACCCAAGGUUGGCGAUCUUGGAGCUAUCUUGGUGGUGAUUGAUCGGUUCUCUAAGUAUACCACAUUCAUUCCUGCUCCCAAGUACUGUACAGCGGAGGACACAGCUCGACUAUUGUUCAAACAUGUGGUCAAGUAUUGGGGCCUCCCCCAAAACAUUGUCAGUGAUAGAGAUCCUAGAUUCACGGGGUCUUUUUGGAGAGAACUUUUCAAGAUUUUGGGGUCCCAACUCAACAUCUCCUCGAGCUAUCACCCUCAAACUGAUGGCCAAACAGAGCGGUUCAAUGGAUUGUUAGAGGAAUACUUGAGGCAUUUUGUCCACGCCAACCAAAAGAACUGGCCCUCAUUAUUGGACGUUGCUCAACUCUGUUUUAAUUCCAACAAAAGCUCUUCCACCAACAAGAGCCCAUUUGAGGUGAUCACCGGACAAUUACCAAGGCUACCCCACACUUCCUUGGAACAAUAUGGAGGAAAGAAUCCCAGAGCAUUCAACCUCAGCAAGGAGUGGAAACAAAACACGGAGAUCGCGCAAGCCUACUUAGAGAAAGCGUCAAAACGGAUGAAAAAAUGGGCAGACAAGGGUCGUAGAGCUCAACAAUUUCAGGUUGGGGAUUUGGUUCUUGUUCGAUUAGUCCCUGAACAAACCAGGUUCUUGAGGAAGAGAGAUCGUAGAUUGGUGCGCAAGUACGAAGGUCCAGUAAAGGUCCUUUCCAAGGUGGGGAAUGCUUCCUACAAAAUCGACCCUCCAAAGUGGAUGAAGGUGCACCCAGUAUUUCAUGUGAGCAACUUGAAGCCAUUCCAUGCAGAUCCUACAGAUGCUGGUCGAAGAGAGCCAACCAGAGCCGCCAUCACCAUGAAACCACCCUCAGAGCGUCGAGUCCAAGAGAUCUUAGCUGACAGGGAAACCAAGAUAUCUCGAAGACUAGUUCGGGAGUACUUAGUAAAGUGGGAGGGACUAGGCCUAGAAGAAACCAGCUGGGAGAGAGAGCACGACCUCCAGAGAUUUCAAAGGAAGAUCGAAGAAUUUCAAGCCAGCAAGUCGACGAGGACGUCGUUAGAAUAGGUGGGGGAGGAUGUCAUGAGCCAACCUUGUAUAAGGCCAUGACCGGGACUUAGGUUGCCAUGAGCCACCCAUGUAUAGGGCCAUGGCCGGGUAGACCCCUUGUGUUAGGAAAAGUGUCCCCAUUUCAAACAUUGUAACGGUUACUGGUAGCAUAGCUCUAAAAUCUCUAAGGCUCUUUAGGGGGGGUGAGCCGGCAGGGUAUUGUUGGGCUGUCUCACCGGGUGCUAUGCGAGCUUAGGCCACCCACCAUGGGCUGCCCCCCUGGCCCUGGUGAUGGUGGGAGGUCCCGAUGUAUGAUUCCCGAUUUUAAUGAAAUUCGCCUCGAUUGAAUGCCCGAUUGUUGCCUCGAUGUGUUUCUUUUCUUUCUCGAUGUGAAUGUGCCUUGUUGUGUGUAUGGAUGAGAUUGAUAUUGAUAUAUUGUGCCUUAUUGUGAAUGCUUGAGACUAACCAUGGUUUAUGGUUAUUUGUUCAGAUCUCGAUCUAUUGAGGGCUGACUUGGGUGGAAGCGUCCAUUCAAGUGCCUCGCGGGCUAGUGCUUGUUGAGAGAAAGCUUAGUCCGUGACAAACAACCUGUAGAAAGAACCGAUAUUGUAUUCUAAACAAAUAAUACACCGAUAUUGUUACGAUUCUAGUACUUUAUUAUUAACUUGAAAAGUGGAACACUUCAUUAAAAUUCAGGAAAUCAUCACAUCAUUGCAUGCAACUUCUCAACAAAACGAUCAAUGUAGGAGUUUUCAAGCCCGUUGCCUAAAAGGAACUCCCUCCAUUUGGCAUGGUUUGCCCUGGCCUCUUUCCCCACCUCACUAUCAUCAUCCAUCACGGCCAUCACUGCCUUGCAAACAUCGUUCUUUGAGAAAGUUCCAUCUUCUGCACCUUUCUCAACUUCUACUCCAACUUUCAAAUCUCCAGCCAUCAAUCUUGCAUUAAUUAUCUGAUCUCCAACAUGAGGCAAUAACACCAAUUGACAAUCAUUAACCAUAGCCUCUGAUAAAGAACCGUAACCACAAUGGGUCACGAAACAUCCCACAGAAGGGUGCCUCAAGAUCAUUUGUUGUGGUACCCAAUCCCCAUGAACAAAUCCUCUUCCUUUUACUCUCUCUUGGAAUCCUUCCGGUAAUGCUGACUCAGUUGUUUCAGCUCCCAUUGGUGGUUUCAGGGCAACUAAGAAUGGUAAACCUGUAAGCUCAAGGCCUAAAACCAAUUCCUGAAAUUGAUCACUCUUGAGAACACACUCACUCCCAAAGGCACAAAAUAUUACAGUCUGAGCUUGAAAGCUGCUCAACAACUUUUCCCAUCGUUCUUCUAAUACCUUAUUUGUUGGCUCUGGCACAACUGGUCCAGCCAAUAUCACUGGCUUUUCAAAUUGUUUUUCAAUAUAAUCACAGUAAGGCCCUUCAAUCUCCCUACAUGUCUUGAAACCAAUAGCAUCACAUUCAUUUAAAGAAGUUAAUUGGCGCACCACGAAUGAAAUACCAUUUCCGUAUUCUUUUAUUGUCUCAGCAGCUAGUCCUCGAGCUUCAUAGUCACUUAACUUGAUACUUGAAUAAGGGAAACCUGGUGGAGGCUCCAUGAGAUCCGAUCCUGUCAAACCUUUCUCACGAAUCUUUCUUGUUGGACUGAUCAAAUAGGCAACAGUUGCGGAGCUAAUGGUACAGUAAUGCAUGGACUUGAUGCCUAGUUUGCGACACAACAGAGGCGACCAGGAAGCAAAAUCAUAGAAAAGGAAGUGGGGUUUGAGUUCACGGAGAGAAGCGUCAAUGGCUGGUUGUGUGAGAUCCAUUGCAGCCAUAAGGAGAGGUUGCAGUGCGAAAGGAAUAUCAGCUGUUGUUUCAAUGCCAAGAGGGAGGCCAUCAAUGUGAGGAACUUCAAAUGGAAUGAAGGUUAUGAGAUCGGGGUGAAGGUUGAAAGGCUCAAACUUGUGUUGUGUUUUGGUUGGCAAGAAGAAGGAGAUUUUGUGUCUUCUUUCUGCUAAUUUAUUGGAGAGAUGGAGAAAUGGGGUAAUAUGGCCAACUGCAAACCAUGGAUACAUCGCGAUGUGAAGCAUUUUUUCGCCCAUACUUGCUCUUUCAGCAUCAGCUAAAAUACAUGAUCAGCUAAAUAGGGACCAAACUUGAACUUAGAUGUCCUCAAAUGUAAGCAUUUAGCUUUAUAUAACGGCUAAUUUGGAACCAAACUUGAACCAAACUUGGGAUUUGAUUUUUUUUUUUUUAAACACUAGUCAUGGGAAACAGAAGAUAGAUAUUGAAAAUGUACGUUAGGAGCGAACAAAAAAAUAUUUUCAUGGUUCACAAUCAAAAUGAUAAAAAAAAUCUGAAGUGAAGUUGUUUUUUUUUUUUAAUUCAUAACUUGAGAUAAGAAACAAUUUUUAAAAUAUUAAAAUUGGAAACUUAAAUUACUGAAAUAAAACUUAUUGAAUAUAUAUUUUUUAAAAUAAUUACAUAAAUCAAUUAAAUUAAACAUUAAAUUUAAAUUUAAUGCCGUUUUCACUAGCUUGAUUACGUGUAAAUUAACCAAGGCAUAGAUGCAGUCUAUACUCGAUACUUCCGCUUCAAUUACAAGUUUCUAUUUGUAUCCACAAUCACACAUUUUGGCUAAUAUUUUCUAUAGAAUUUCUGUUCCUGUAAAAGCAUUAAGUCCUAUUAAAAAAAUCUUAAGUCAUAAAUCAUACUUGUAUUCAGUGUCCGUAUUGUUCUCAUGUAUUUGUAAAUAUGGAAGGGCAUUACACGUAUUAUAUAUGUGCAAGGGUGAGAUUGCACCCAACUUAGUCUCAUUGGAGAAUAACCCUUAAACAAUCUCGAACUUCAACCAAAACUACUAACAUUAAAAAAAAAAAAAAAAGCCUGUCUUUAUUAAUGCCAUCAACUUUAUUCCAAUGAGCUCUUUGUAUAAGCCAACCCAAGCAAAGAUGAUUGGAUUGGCCUAGCUAAUGCAAAGCAGGAAUCUGGAUUAACUGACAUCAACAACUCAAUUACAACAAUCUCAUUUGGAAGGCGGAUCUUGAGACGACGUUCGAUUAAACCUGCUUGAAACACAAAUGACAUGAAAACAUUAACCAAAGCCCACUAGCAACAGUAUAGGUUAGGACUUGUAUAUAAGAAAUGUAACAAAUUCUUACCAGGGGAAAUUUUUUUCCCACCAUAUAGCUCUUUUGUUAAGGGAUUGACAGCCCAAUGAUUGACACCCACCCGACUUGUAGGUUGGAACCCAACUAUUUUCCCUUCAGUUGACAAAACCACCUUUUCACCAAAAAAAAAGAAAGAAAGGACAUGCAUGCAAAUUAGAAAUAUAGAUGGAAACUUGAUUGCUUUAAACUUUUAAUCGUAUUUAUAUACUAACAAGCAACAAAACACAUAACAAACUUUAAUUGAGAUCCAAAUUCUAAUGAAAUGGAGCUACUCUAUACAGGUCCAGGACCGCAACCAAUUUUGCUGUUACAGUUGCCAGCCAAGUCAAUUUAAGUAGACACCAACACACAGUUCAAUACGUGGAUUCAUUUUUUCCACACAAGAUAAAGCUUGUCAAGAAUUAAACAAGUCAACUUAAGUACGCUCCCACUUUCCUUUUUCUCCCUCUUUUCUUUCCGAUACCUAGUAUAAAGCUAGAAAGAUGAUGGAAAAUAUAAAAGCAAAAUCUAAACCAAUGAGUUUACCUGAUAACUAGCAACAUCCUGGACAGAUGAUUUUAUAUCAGCAUCCAUUUUCUCCACAUCAGCAGAACUAGUUGAAUCGUCCUCACUAUUAGAAUUAGCUUGAUGAGGUGCUUUCAAGUAGUUUGGUAUUUCACCAAUCCAGGCACCAAGAUUGGUUUCUGUUGCUAUGUCACCAGGCCAGCCAAAGGCAUCCUUAAUCUUUCGGACUAACAAGAUACAAAAUGCCUCCAACUAUCCAUAUGAAGUCAAUAUAUUAAUUUUUACAUUAAAAGCAAAUUUUAAAUUUAAUAAAGAAGGAAAAAAAAAAGAAAAGAUAAAAGAGAACUGAAGUUUAAACAGGAAUUAUAAAGGAUUAAAGGCUUCAAACAUUAACCUCUAUAUUGUUAGGGAUGUUCACUUACAUGCAUUGGGGCCAUAUUAUUUACAAUUCAGACACUAACAAGUUUUAAAUUUAAUCUUGACAUUGUCUCUUAUCUUAGUGCAUUAGCCAGGAAUGUACUACGCCAAGUUCAAAUAUGACAUAUAAAUACACAGGCCAUUGUCUGUAGAAUGGUUCAGGCAUUAUUUGAAUAGUAUAUGGGUCUCUGAAGAAGCUAGCAUGUUUUUCCUUGCUAGAUCAGUGGAGAUGAUAGAAGCAUCAACUGUAAGAGAAGAAAUGGCAGUAUAACAUUUUAGAGACAGAGUCAGAAAUAGUUUUGAAGUACACUGCCUUCCACAAAGAACUGCAGAUCAUGGAAGGGAUGUGGUUCUAGUCUGGAGAAAUCAAAAAAUUGGGAAAAUAAGCAUUGAAUCUUGCCAUCUGAGCUUGGUUAAUCAUUGCUCCAUCUGAGUUUGGUUACACAUUGCUCUAACAAUAGUGCAAAUUGGUUAGCAAGCUAAAUUAGAAACAGGAUGUGACCUGAUGGCUGGGUCAUAAAACCUCUAUCCUUCGUGGUAUUUACUUUUUCUGAGCAUGGUUCAAGGCCUUCCUUAGAGGUUCUUUUCUCCUAUAUUUGGUUACAUGUACUAUUUCUUGUUGUUGCUAAAUCUUUCUUGAAUAAGAUUUCUCUUUGGUCCAAAAAUAAAAAGGGGCUCUAUACAGUGCAUUUCUAGAUCACAUGAAUGUUUUGGCAGCGAAGAAAAUGUGUAUAAGGUCACAAGGACUUUAAAAACAUGGCAAAUUUCUAGGAAAAACUUGUUCGCCUAUUCUAAUCUUUGCAUUAACUGAGCAUGGAUGCAAAAAUAAUACACAGAUAAAACUGAAAAUGAAUUAGUAGAAAGCUACAUAGUACACAGUAUAUUCCCACCUUUUCAGUGUCUACAGAUUGAAUUGUUGUAGACUCAAUAAUUGAUGACGAUGGAGACCUAGAUCCUCCAGGGUACUUUCCUCCUUUGCCUAGAUAAGGAAAACUAAAUUGACUGAGUGUACUGAUGGUAAUGAGAAGAAUUCCACUUGCAAUGGUGGCAGAUACCACUCUCAAGAAAGAAGAGCUCCUCUGUAAGAAAUAAAAACAAUUAGACAAUGCCAAUGAACUUAACUCAAUUCAUACCAACUAAACUCAAAACAUCAAACACCAAUUGCAACUUUUCAUGGCAAGAUCCUUCAAGAUCAUAAAAGCCUAAACCCCUCAGAAAGAAAAAACCACAAAAUAAUAGAAGAGAAACAAUGAAUUUGCAAAGAAGUCAAAUAUAGCAUACAGUUCAUGAAUUCUGAGAGGUAAUUUCAAACAUCCAUGUUAACUCUAUCCAGUGCUGGGUUUAACACUUUUCUAAGCAUUAUCAAGAUUUUUACACACACUUCCACAAUCAACAGCUUUGAAACUUCUUUAACAUUUUCUUAACUGAUUUAUUAAAUCGCAAAUUUUUACCAAUCACCUUCUAUCUUAAAAUUUCUAAAGAACCAAGGAGCCCAGCCGAUCGAAAAAGGUUAGCAAAACAAAACCAAACAACAACAAAGUUUCAACUUUUAACAUUUACCAAUAAGUAAAAACAGAGACAAUCAAUAUGCAUUUCAAUACCUUUGCUUUAGACAAGCUGUUAUAAUUGGCAACCACACCACUGUGUAGUUGUUUGUUAGGCAGUGAGUAGACAUCUUCAUAGUACAUAUCUAACAUAUCAGCCAGUCCAACCUACACAUUUUUAUAAGUUAGCAUCAAAAAGAGAAGCCAAACAUUCCAUAAAACAAUGCACAAUAGAAAACUAAAUACAACAUGAAAACUACACCUUAAUUAUCAAAAAGAAUUAUCCAGAUGAAAGACAAAUCAAAAGAUCAAACACUGAGAGGAAAGAAUAAAGUACCAUCUGGGAGUGUGUCAAAAGAACUUCCCACCUAUUCUCGUCAGAUUUUCUCCAUCCUUCAAACUUUACAUCCUUAAAUGUAUUUGCAUUGAUUUCCAGCCGAAAGGCAGGUAUAAACUCACUUGUCCAAGCACUAAACUCAUGACCACCAAUCUUUUUCAACUUAGAGUGCAAAGGUUGAGUCCACGCAUAGUUUUUCCUCCUCAAAUCCAUAGCCUUGAAACUCUCUUUACUCGAAUUAAAACUUUCAAGAAGACUCUUGGCAUUUUCAACCACCUCAUCUUCAAACGCUUCAUAUAUAAUAACCGAGGAAUCUUUUGAUACAAUAUUUUUCGACUUCCGAAACCACAGAAAGAAGUUAUAGGAAGUUUUUCCCAAUAAAUUUUCCAGGAAAUGUUUUUCAGUGCUUUGUAAAGCCAAGAUGCAAACAAGUUCACCCAGCACAGAGAUAACCCUUUCUUCCGACGAGCUGAGAGUGAACGAGGUGAGAACCUGCUGAUACGAAAUGCAUAACAAGAGAACUGAACCUAUCAGUAUCAAGUGGGACCUGCAGAAAAGACAUUAAUUAUAAAAGUCGACAUACAGAUAACGAAAAUAACAGAAUCCACAAAUAAGAAAUACUAACGGUUAUCUAACCUCUCUUGGGUUUUCAAGAUCCUCCAUAUCUCUUUGGGUUCCAGGACAAAACAAAACCAGUUCGAAACUCCAAAGCUUUUGCAUAACCACUUGCCUAAAUGUCAUUGCCAGUAUGUUUUUCGAUGAUGUUCCCGCUAAAAUUUCUUCAGACAGUGACUUUUUCAGCUUUUGAGCUUUUUCUUUAACUUUCCUAGCAGGCAAAAACUGUUCCAAAAAUUUAAAAUUAAAAGAUAAACAUUUAACAAUUAAUUUAUGAUUUGGAGAGGACAGAAAUGAGCUAACCAAUCGGGUUGAAACGGUGGCAUUUUUAGCGGUGGGGCCAGGGAAAACAGUUUCAAUAACCAUAGCAGGGAUACCGGACUCGACGUGCUCGGUAGCGGCUCGGCCUCCAUCGGCAGCUGCAGCCGUCAAAGCUUGGUCAAAGCCGACGGCUCCAACAAGGGUGAGGCGAGCGAGGUCGUUUUCGUAGGUCCGAACACAAGGGAGCGUGGUUCCAUCGGAGUCCGCUAUGAAUUUUAGGGCUUCCUGUUCGGUGGAUGGAGCUGGUUUCGGAGAAGAACGGGAGAGAAUAAGGAAGGGAAUUUUGGGGUUGCGGAAGGGUAGCUUGUGAAAAAAGGUGAACUUGUUAGAGGAAUGAGAGGGAAAUUUGAUGAGAAAUGGAGGGGAAAGUGAGUGAGUUAAAGCCAUUGAUGGAGCAGCCAUUGAUGGAGCAGAGCAGAGGGUUUUGGGGAUUUUGGGAGGUUUUUUAUUUUAAAACGUUGAGGUAGGCGCAUGUUAGCAACAUGUACACGUGGCCAGAUUUAGGCUUAAUGAGUUGUUAGGUUUUGGGAUUCAGCUGUUUUCCAAGAAACGAGGUCGUUUUGGACCUUAAGACACCGCUUUGGAAAAUACUAUAAAUAUCAACUUCUCACUUUCUCAGAGGCGGAAGAAAUUACUAUCCAUUGACAAAUAAAAAAAAUCCUCAGCAGGUAUUUUCGCCUAUCCUUUGAAAAGCAUCGAAAAAGUUUAGGGUUUCCUUUUUUCUCGCUAAUUGAAAUUGCCCUCUGGUAAGUUCGAUUAUUUAAUUUCUUUUCCUCGUUGAUGAAAUUCGAGUUAUAGUCGUUAUCAUUUGUUUCCAAAUAAACUUUUAAUUUUUUCUGCUUCUUUAAAUUUGGUGGAUAUUUUCAUCGAUAGGGUUGGUUAGCUUUUGGAAUCUGCCCUAAUUUUUAUUUUCCUGUUGCUUAUCCUUAAGAAGAAAAGAAAAUUAAAGAAGGGUUUAAACUUUUUGUGAGAAAUUUGAGGAAAAAGAAAAUAGAUUUGGUUUUACCGCUUAACCUAAUUAUUUAUCCCCAAAAAAAGAAAGCCUGAAAUAAUUAGUUACGGUUUGAAGUGAAAAAUCUGAUUUUUGGUGGGAAUUCUUUAAAUUUGUCUUAAAUCUGAAAUUUUUAUGCUCAUUCUGGUUGUAAAUUGACAUGAUGAAGGAAUUGAAGUAUGGGAAAGAGGAAAUCAAGAGCAAAGCCAGCUCCUAAGAAGCGAAUGGAUAAGCUUGACACUGUUUUCAGCUGUCCCUUUUGUAACCAUGGAACCAGUGUUGAGUGCCGCCUGUAAGUAUAAACUUCUUAUAUUUGUUUUAUGAGAAUUUUACCCUUAUUUGGAUCUAAUAGCUGAGAUAAUUUGAGGCAAUACCUCCUACUCUGUGGUUAGUAAACCAUUUUAUCUUUGAUGAAGAUAAAAGAGAAAACGUGUGUUAUGUGAAAAAUGAUUUCUUGUGUCGUAAGGAUUUAUCUAUGUUAUAAUUCGGAGUACUAAGUAUUGGUGUUUAUCUGUUCCAGUGAUAUGAAGAACUUGAUUGGCGAAGCCUCUUGCAGGAUAUGCCAGGAAAGUUUCAGCACCGUUAUAACAGGUACUCAUGAUACGAUAAUUUUUGGCUGAUAAAGAACAUGAAGUUUUUUGUAGUGGUGAUGAAAACUAAGUUGGCAGUCUUUUUGUUAACUCAUGCACGUUUCUUUUGUCUCUGUAUUUGCAGCUUUGACUGAACCAAUAGACAUGUAAGUGCUAUCAAUGUGGUGUUUAAUCUCUGUUUCUCUCUAGCUUGAUCUCCCUUUAUAUUUAUUCUUCUUGUGACUUUCCAGAUACAGCGAGUGGAUCGACGAAUGUGAGCGGGUUAACAACCUUGAAGAUGAUGGAGAUCAGGAUGAAGGUUAUGUGCCUAGAAAACGGGUUUCAACGUCUGAAUGGGAUUAGCAGUAGCCAGGAAUGUUUUAGAACUUGCUACGCCUGUAAUUAUGCUAGUUUCUGGGGGGAAUAGUUGGUGUGGGGGUAAUCUUUGCACAUGUAACAGCAUCUCAUGAUGAAUAGCCUAAGUUAUCGAUUCUGGUAAGGGAGCACUUUGUCGAAGGGCUAUUAGCUAUUGUUUCGUGCUGUAUGAACCAAUUUAUUUUGAUGUAAUGCAAUUACUUUAUGCUAUUCCGAAUGAUGGUUUGCAGAUAUAAUUGGACAAGCCAUUGGCUGAUGAGACAUUUUCCUAAUUUUUAAAGGGUUAAAAUUUAAAAAAGAUAUUUUUUACAUGCUGCAGCUCGUGGUUGGGCAAAGUUAUGCAGUGUAAUCUCAGAAUAUUGAAACAUGAAAGGAUUUUCAAUAGCAGGCAAUAUUCACACAAUCAUCAUUUUUCUUGAAUAUCUUGUUUUUACUAUCUGCUAUCCUCUGUAUCACACCUUCCCUCAAGAAAACAGUCGAAAAUUUCGUACGAGUGCUAAAUCCAAAAUCAUUUACAAGCAUAGAUCAAGUGAUAAUGACUCAAGAAAUGUCUUUGAUUAUGUACCCAGUUACAGGCUGAGAUAUCUUUCAUGAGCAGCUGAAAGAUUUAGGCAUUUAGCAUAUAGUAUUUAAAACCCUAGAAAUACAAUUAGCUUCUAUUGUUUACCAUGUCUUAGUAGGUAUAAAAAUGGACUGACGAAAAACAGCCAUUUCUCUUUGCUUGUAACCGUCUUCCAGAAGUUAGAUUGAGCGCCAGCACCAAGGAUCGUCAACAACUAAUACAUAACUUCUGUGUGCAAGUGAACUAUACAAAUUUAUGGUCACCAAAAAUAAGAGCUAGACUUGGUUUUCUGAGAAUGAACUGCAAAAAGGACUUGAAAAAAUGCAUAGUUUCCACCCCUUCAACAAGUUAAAAUGCUUCAGCAGAUAUAUAACUAGACGAAUGGAUGCAGCUACUUCAUCUUUUAUCAGGAUUUCUUCAAUUAGGUUAGAUAAUAGCCAUUUAAAUUAUCAACAAGAUAGUCAUACUGCACACCAAGCCCAUAAUCGAGCUCGUCACUUGUUGGUGUCGCAUUAAUCUUAGCCCUUCCUUUGACACAGCGCUUAUUAUCAGAUGGGAACUCUGCAGUGAGCCUUCCCAUCUGCUUCUGCAAAUCAGCAACUGUAUCACUCGCUGAUUUCCCCUUUGCACUUUUCUUACCAUCGACAAGCUUCAAUUCCAAUCUAUACAAGGCACAAGCAUCACAUUUGUUGAUCUCAUAUUCGUAAAGGUGCCACUCAAAAUGGUUUAGUGGCUGUGGAUCCAUGUAGUAUGAUCUCUUCAGUCCUCCAAAUUCAUUCAUGACUUGCUUUCUUGACUCAUGCCAGCCACGCCCACUGUAAUCUGGCAAAGACCUCUGCUUUCUGUUCCCACUUUCAAAUGCCCUUCGAGGCUUAUCAAAAAAGAGCCACUCCCUAAUUGAUUCACCAUCAAGAACCGAAAGAUCAAAGAGCUCUGUAAUCACAGGAGAAAAUUAAUUAACUUAACAAAAGUCAUAAAGAACAUAGUGCAUGAUUAGAGAACAUAUUCUGUUCUCACUCAAAAGUUGCCACUAUAACCAAGCAAUAUUGAUAAGACAUACCAGGAGCAUUCCAUGGAGACUUUGCAGUUGCAGCUCCCUCACAUUCUGGUAUACCCACAUCUUUUCCUUGUGCCUUAGCACUAAGAGCAGAAAAGAGCAGACAAUCCUUGAGGCCUAUGCCACCAGGUCGCAGGACAGGGCCCAUUCCAGGUGGGCCUUCAUUCAUUGCCAAAGCAGCAUGAAAGCUACUGCAGUAGUCCUGACACCAGUCCAACCCUUGAGCAGGCCUUGGACAAUCCCAAAGUGCACACUUUGGACCUAAGAAUGCAGCUGGUGGCGGGCAUAUACUUGGCAGAUAGCUAGAAGUAUGAGGCAAGGCAUCCUCCCCACAGAAACCGGUACCAUUGAAACCUGCGUAGAAGUGCUCAAAAUCCUGAUGCAAAUCGAACUGAUGGUAUUCCAAUUGUGUAGCCCCUUCGAAGUUGUUAACUGACAUGGCACGGAUGCCUGAAGGUGACUCUUUGUUAUGAUCAACUAAUGGAAAGCCGCGUUCAUGUUGAUCCUGAUUCACUCCAUAACUCUGUAAGAGCAUAUUGAUUAUAAAACUUGCCAGUGAAAAACUUUUUCAACAUAAUAACAUGUCAAAGCAAAAUGGAAACAGUUAACUACAAAACAUGCAAGAAAUAUAAUUAAGAGAAAAACCAAUGGAUACAAACAUUAGCUCAAGGGAAAGAUAAUGUUUUAAUGCAAAAGUAUAAACAAGAAAAAGCAAAUUAAAGCCCCAGUAAGCUCAACCCAAGAGGUGUAAAAGCAUGCAUAAAGCCGAACAUGGGGAAAGUACACAUCAGCAAUUGGUUUAUGCUUUGACCAUCCAUUCUAACAAUAUAAGGGAAAAAAUUCAUCAACUUCUCAAACUUGUCAACUCUACACAACAAAGCAGCCCAGAAGCACACUCUAGGUACUCAGGCCCUAUUAGGCAGAAGUUUGGUCUCUCGUCAUGUGGCCAUUACCCUUUCCCCACAAAAUCGGCUUAUUAGGGUGUGCCACACCAACGUUUAUACGCCCAAUGACUUCUCCUUUCCUAUCCGAUGUGGGAUUAAUGCACCCUGCCUGCUCCUUUUGAGCAAUUGGCAUGACAUUCUACCCCACCAAGUCUCGUGAUGCCCUUGUCAUGGUUGCCACCCCACCGGCUCCCCUUUGGAGUACUUGACGUGGUCAAACUUUGCCACUGCCUUACCGCAGCACCUUGUUAAGUAGCUAGAAUAGCCCACCUUGCCUACUUCCACUGGGGCACUUAGCGUAGAGUUAGAUGAGUCAACGGUUGGCUCUAAUACCACUUGAUCUACAUGCAUGAUAAUUCCAUACCGCACACCCCCACUCCACAUGACUAACAUGCCAGGCUCAGUCUUCUCACCUAAGGCCAAUAAAGUAAGAUGGCAGCAAAGCAAUUAUUUGAUAGGUAUCUAUAAUAAUAAUAAUAUACUAUACUAUCAAAAUCUUAAUUGGCUCAAUUUAGAUUUAAGUGGCAAUUCCAAAUGAACGAUAAUUCACUGCAAUUACACUGACAUGAUUUGCAAACUAAAUGUUAACAAGAAGAAUACAAGAGUGCAGUGUUCAUUAGACAGAAAAUAUGAUAAGUGAUUAUUGGGCUGUGAGAAGAUAUCUUAGAAUGAAAUCCACCAGUUAUCCCUGUCUUCCUAUUCAUUGAGUGCGCAAUCAAUGAAACAUAUUUGAUGCUCUUACAGAAUAUCCUAUAUCCUGCUGAUAAAAAAUCUAUGUAUCAUAUAUCCUCCCAUGUUUUUCACAGCGAAACACAAUUAUUGAGGAAACCAAUAACAGAACAUUACUUAUCACAACCCUAUUAAAGAGAAUUGCAAGCAUAUUGUAGUAGCCUUCUGUACUCUGUAACAUCAAUCCAGGAAAAAAACAAAUUAGAAACGAUCAAGUAGCAUAAUUUUCCAUUGUUUCUCUCAUUUACCACAUUUUAAAAACUAAAAACAAUCAUGAACAUAUAUAAACAUACACAGCUCCAAAUCCUGUGCUUACAUAAGAAGCAACCAAAUGCCUUCCAACAAUAUAGAAAUCUCAUCCCUUAGAAUGGACAACUUAACUUGAAGCUCAUGUUGGUCUAAGCAUACUCAAUAAACCUGUUUUCAGUCCAGCCAUUAUGCAAAUUCCAAAAGAAAAUGAAAAAGCAAAGAAUCCAAGGACAAAUAGAAAUCACCUCUUGGAAAGCAGCAGCAUCUCCUACUUGCAGGCUUUGAUCAUUAGGCUCUGGCUUUGGUGCAGCUAAUAUACUAGUGGCAUCAUCUUCCUCCUCGCAAAGCUGCAACAGCCGACAAAUGUCUGACGAAAAUGAACCAAGACUCCCACCCUGUAAAUCACCAUGAAGAUCACAAUUCACAAUCACAAACUUUAGACUGUAUUUUCAACCCCAUAAGAUUAAAAUUCAUGAGCAUUUAUCUUAGUUACAUUCUGUAACAGCCAGACCAAACCCUUCAAACAGCAUACAACCUACUAAACCAUACAUUCACACAAACUCACACUGAUAUAAAUUUUACAUAUAAUUCAAAUAAAAAUUUAUAUAAGCAGUGCUAACUUGUUGCAAUGAAGACGCUGGAGAAGGUUCAUUAAGCUCAGCUUUCCAUUCACGGAGCAUCUGAUGGACUUGCUCCUCAAGGACUGUGACAUCAAUGCUGCGACUCUCCUUCCUGGCAAAUUGCAGAUCCAAGAAAAUUCCUUGCAGAUCAUCCACCAGGUUUUUUGCCCUGUCCAAGAGUUUUGGAUGCUGACUUGAGUUGGUUUUCGAACCUUUCCCAUAGGAUAAACAAGCUCAUCAUUCGCAUCCAAAAAAUGCAUUAAAGCGCAAUAAAAUGCAACACAAGGUCAACCCAGAUGAAAAUUCAAUCCAAUAAUCACUAGUCUUAUUCCUAAAUUUUAUAACUAAAUAUCAGUUUACAACUAACAAUAGUGGAAAAAACAAAACAUCAAAAAUUAAACACAAGGCACUGAGAUUGCUGAGAUUGCAACAGUUAUCUAAUUACCAUUAAAAAAAACCAAACUAUAAAAUAUUAUAGAAAUCACGGUUAAUAAAUUUACAUCAAACCAAUAUAAACUAAAGUCCCAUAAACAAGAAAAUUAAAUAAAAAAAAAACCAACCUGAAUUAUAUAUAAAAAGAAAAGCACCCCAAUUUCCCAAAUACCUUAAAACUGAGAUUAAAACAAGGCAGCAUGAGAUCAAAGGCAAAUUGUAGAAUCAAAAUAGAUGGAAAUAGUUAUCCUAGAAAUCUAACCGGAGAAUGAUCAAAGACUCAGGAGUUCCUCGACUUUGUAUGGAGCAACCUCUGAGACAAAAGUAGAGUGAGAGAAAUGGAGAAAAAGAAAGUGCUGGGAAAUUACAAGAAAGAGAGAAAAGUAAAUAUUCUAUGAAACAAAAGAGUCCACUGUUCAUUCAGCCAAAGAAAACUACUAAAAGAAGAGAUGCUCCUUGCCACUAUGUGUUUGCUUUUCUUUUUCUUUUUUUUUUUUUUUUGAGGUUUGGUUUUAAUUUUAUUUUCCCAAUUUCCAAUCAGGAAGGCAUUUUUUGGGUUUUUUUUUUUUUUUUAAGGAAAUAAAUUGAAGAAGGCAAUGUGUACAUAACGCAGUAACGCGGCAAAAGUUAAAC
rnacentral:lncRNA from 1 species